rnacentral:siRNA from 1 species
UUUCAUUUCUAUUGUUCGCUUUGU